GCUAUGAUGAAUUUAAUUGCAAUGAUCAUCUGAAAUGAUAAUUUUGUCCUCUAAGAAGUUCUGAGCUU